AUUGAACGCUGGCGGCAGGCCUAACACAUGCAAGUCGAGCGAGCGGCGGACGGGUGAGUAAUGUAUGGGGACUGCCCGAUAGAGGGGGAUAACUACUGGAAACGGUAGCUAAUACCGCAUACUAUCGGAUAACCCAUAUGGGAUUAGCUAGUAGGUGAGGUAAUGGCUCACCUAGGCGACGAUCCCUAGCUGGUCUGAGAGGAUGAUCAGCCACAGUGAGAAUAAGACACGGCCCGGACUCCUACGGAGGCAGAAGUGGGGAAACUUGCACAAGGGGCGCAAGCCUGAUGCAGCCAUGCCGCGUGUAUGAAGAAGGCCCUGGGGUUGUAAAGUACUUUCAGUCGGGAGGCGUGACCGACAGAAGAAGCACCGGCUAACUCCGUGCCAGCAGCCGCGGUAAUAC
rnacentral:rRNA from 1 species